GGCAGUUCUCAGGUGAUGCACCCCGGAAUUGGGCUCCCUCCUCUCUGGUUCUGGGGUGCGUCACCCGAGAACCGCC
rfam:Myotis brandtii contig169230, whole genome shotgun sequence.